rnacentral:rRNA from 1 species
UACGGGGGGAGCAAGCGUUGUUCGGAUUUACUGGGCGUAAAGGGCGCGUAGGCGGUCAGUGCAAGUCAGUUGUGAAAUCUCCGGGCUUAACUCGGAACGGCCAAGUGAUACUGUCGCGCUAGAGUGCGGAAGGGGCAAUCAGAAUUCUUGGUGUAGCGGUGAAAUGCGUAGAUAUCAAGAGGAAUACCUGAGGUGAAGACGGGUUGCUAGGCCGACACUGACGCUGAGUGCGCGAAGGCCAGGGGAGCAAACGGG